rnacentral:rRNA from 1 species
UGCGCAGGCGGCCUGAUAAGUCAGAGGUGAAAUAUGUCGGCUCAACCGACAAACGGCCCCUGAAACUGUCAGGCUUGAGUCCGGGAGAGGUUGGUGGAAUUCCAGGUGUAGCGGUGAAAUGCGUAAAUAUCUGGAGGAACACCGGUGGCGAAGGCGGCCAACUGGCCCGGUACUGACGCUCAAGCACGAAAGCUAGGGGAGCGAACAGGAUUAGAUACCCUGGUAGUCC